CCCGUCCCGCGGUCGGCGAACUUCGUGAGGUGGGGGCGGGGGACAGCAUCGUGCCUGCAGCUCAUGACACCAGCGAGUCCCGCGCCACAACCUCUGGAGGCAGCCCGAGCAGGCCUCGCGAAGAAAGCAGUGGUAGCAGCAGCACCGGCAGGAAGCAGAAGAGGAGACGCUGGGUUCCAAAUGAUGAGUAAGUCCCCGCGAUCCCAUCUUUGUCCUCUUCUCCGUGCUCUGCAAACUCCACUGCCUCAAUGAUGGCUUUGACUUCGAGCGGGUCGUGAACCCCGUCCCGGCAGAGCUUCGCGAGGACCUUGGGAAGGUGGUGGAGGGCCAUGUGGCCAACUUCGUCCGGCGGUUUGCACCAGUCGAUGACGGUAGCGACGAGGAUGAUGCGGCUUUUGAUGAUGAAGAUUGAAGGCGGCGACGACAGCGACUCUCCGCCUAGAUCCUCUCCCACUCUUUAAUUUAUCUGUAAUAGAAUAGAAGUGGCCCCGUGGGGCGUGAAGACAUUGCCUGGCACUUUUGCAUUAAGGGGGUGUUUGGUUCAAGGAACUUUUUAUGUUGGGACUAAAAAAAAGUCUUUAAAAGUCCCGAGCAAACCAAAAAGGGGGACUUUUUUGGGACAUUUUGCUAAAAUUUCUUAGAAGCACCUCCUUAAGAAUCUUUUUUAAAAAAUCCUAGGGACUAGAAAAAGUCCUAGGACUAGAGAACCAAACACCACCUAAGUUAAGCACUACUACGUUUUUGCUUCCUUGUGGUGUUUCCCUUCCAUGUUUGUUUCCUUGCAAGGC
rnacentral:lncRNA from 1 species